AUAAAUGAAAAAAAUCUUCAGUUUGGUGGUCAUCUUGAUAUUUAGGGCAGGGUUUGAGAUUCCAAACACCGAGGAUCGAGAUCCCAAAAUUUAAAAUCUAAGAUCCCUUCCUGGAGCGCUAGAGCAAAUUAGAUUGCUGCUUAGGUUGAAACCCUUCCACAAUAGGUGAAAGAAAUCAUUUAGGAUUGUUAGAGGAGCUGCUCUCUCUUUUUCAGGGUGCGUGUGUGGGGGGAAACAGUUGACCCAUGGUCCUAAAUAUAAAAGAUCUACAGGUUAUAAGUCUGCAAUCAGUCCACGAUGAAAGCCAACUGUGCCAAUUAUAUAAAUUGGCCAAGAGGACCAUCUUUGUUGGUUUGUCCAAAGCGUCAAGUGCUGCAUUGGCCACACGCCAUACAUGUCUGAAACAAACUACCAAAGGUCCUCAACAUAACAAUAUGGUUGAAGAUGGGCUCCACCUUCCAGGGACCUGGGAUUGCCCUUAUUGUCCACAUAAUCACAUCCAUGAAUGACCAGGAGGGCUGACUAGCAUCGUAAGUUUUAAGGCACUCUAGGAAGUCUUGUGCUUGCAGGCAUAAUCAGGGCUGAGAUGGAUGGCAGUAUCCAUGUGGAGCUCCUGCAUUGUGCAAAGAGCAGCCAUGAAAGUUUAGAUCGAUUACCCACUGUUUCGGCGGCCUCCAAAAGCUCGAUCUUGGAACCUUUUGUGGUUUAACAUUCAUGAUGUGGUUCUACUUACUAGCAAAUUCAGCUAAUGAGAAGUCUCAGAGAUCUCUCCAGUUUCAUGCCCAAAAGAUGACAUUAAUUUAAUUCAGUCCUUGAUGGAUUCAGUUCAAGCUUGUCUACUCUCAAAGGCGCAAUUUUACGCUCCAGCCAUAUUCUCCAUAUCAUGGCUGAUACUCUGGCUCUCCAUAGUAGCAUAGCCGCAGGAAGGGUAAGGACGAAAGAAGAAGGCUGAGAACAAUUUUUGCACUAACCAGGGACCACCAAUGCCCCCUUGAAACUUUGGAUCAUACAGGUCCAUAAAUGGCUGGCCACAGGACAAUGGAUGAAGAGGUGUUCGCUAGCUCCCCUUGCAUCCUUGCACAUAGCACAUCAAUCGAGAGAUGGAUUCCUCGUCAUUGUAAAUUGUUGAUGGAAUCCAUUGCAAGUGGGGCUUGGUUUUACAUGCUUACUAUAAAUAAUGAGAUCCCUACUUUAAAGAGUAUACAUAAUCCUUGAUUAUCAUACACUUUAAGGUUGGUAACAAGAUCCUCAAAAAGUUGGGAUCAAGAUCCCAAAAGGUCGGGAUCAAGAUCCCAAAAAGGUUGGAAUCUCGAUCCCGAGCAUUUGGAGAUCUCGAUCCCUAACAUGUGCAUCGUACGAAUGGCGUUCCCAACCAUAGGGAUCUUCUAAUAUUUCACGAUCCCUCGCACCCGAUCACGUUCUUGAUCCCAGUACCAUUCCCACUCCCGAUCCCAACAACUAUGCUUUGAGGUCUGUAGCGACUUCAAAGCAUCUGAGGAACAACAAAGCUUAUCGUCUGGUUGGGGAAUUGUGUCGCAGAAGACCAAUAUGUCUGGUACAUAUUGAAGAUAGGAGAUUUGAGGCAGUGAAGCAUCUUGUGGUGGUACAAUCUUCAUAUAGUUAAACUACAAAUUUCAGCCAUGAUUAAAAGAACCUAGGAGAGGCGAAGAAGCCUCGAGGGCAACCAUUAAUCAGCACCUUGUAGUUCGGGGACGAGAUGCACCCCUAUAUUCAUGAUCUUUUUUUCUGCCCAAACCCCAUAAGGUAUAACACUUGGUCGACAAUAAAUUAGUCCACAUGAUUGUAAGCCUUUUCUAAUCAAGCUUAAAGACCAGGCCAAGGAUUUUAUACUGAUGUCUAGAAUGGAUGCACUCAUGUGCAAUUAAAGCCCCAUCUAAAAUAUGCCUAUCCUGUACCAAAGCCCCUUGGUUUGUUGAAAUAACAAAAUUCAAGACCUGCUGAAAGCAAGAGGUAAGGAUCUUUGAGAGGAUUUUGUAAUAACCAUUGAGGAUACUCAUAGGCCUGAAGUCUUUCAAUUCUUCUACCCCUUCCAGCCUAAGGGCCCAUGCGAUGAAUGUGGAGUUCAUUCCCUUAUGAAUAUUUCCCCUCUUGGUGAAACUCAACGAAAAAGGCCAAGAAGUCUCCCUCUAAGGAAUCCCAUAACUUGUGGAUGAAUAAGCCUCGCAAAAAACAUCAGGCCUAGGUGCCUUAUCUUGACCCCACUCCAAUACUGCUCUGCAAUCCCCAAUUUGGUGAAUGGCCUUUCUAACCACCACUCUGCCCCAUCUCUAGGCAAAGUAAGAAAAAGAAGAUUUGCAAUCCUCGGCCUAGCAUGGGGAUGGACUGAAAAUAACUUCUCGAAAUAAUUUAUUUUCUAACCCUAUUCACAUCUCAAGGCAUGUCGUAGGUCUAAUUGUUCUCCUAAAUCUCCCUUAUGGAAUUAGGUCUUCUCUGAAAGUUUGUUCUCUCACAAAAGAAAGAUGUGUUCUCAUCCCCUUCUUUGAGACAUUUUACUCUUGAUCUUUGGAAUCAAUAGACCUCUUCUUGUUUAAGGAUGGUCUGAAACGACAUAUUUGCUUCAACCUACUUGUCCUCUCCUCCAGGUCAUCAUAUCAUCAUUAGAGCUUUUUCCCAACUAUUGGGAUCGACUGCACUAAUCCUAGGCAGCCAUUCUGCUCUAUCAAGGGUCAUACCCUUAGUGAGGUCAUAAGUCGCCAUAUCUUUUCUCAUUACUUCCAACUAUGUCCGUUUGGGCCUACCCCUUGCCCUUUUGAGCCUUCCACUUGAACCAACUUGCACCUCCUAAUAGAUGUUGUAUUGGGUAUACGCUGCAAAUGGCCAAAAUACCUAAGUCUACUUCUCUCAUCUUAUCACCUAUUGGAGCCACACCUAAGUUCUGCCAAGUGCAUUUAUUUUAAAUUGAGUUAUUUACGUACGGACCUUAAAUAAGUUAGGAAAACACGAGUUGCUCUCAUUAUACUCGAAAAUUACAAUCAAAGUCGGUCAACGCAACUUUUUUUCUUGACAAAAUUAUCCCCUUGGUCCGAGGAUGGCAUCCUCGGACCGUUUUUUUUUUUUUUCUUUCAAAACUUAAAAGUUGCGGUCUGAGAAUGCCAUUCUCGGACCACAUCUUUAAGUUUUUUGAAAAAAAAAAUAAAAAGCGGUUUGCGGAUGAUAUCCUCG
rnacentral:lncRNA from 1 species